GAUAAAAUGUCAAAAUAGCCCCGGCUGAAACUGCAAAAGAACAGCCUCUCCCGAGCCUUUGCCCCUCUCGCAUGUGUAUUAAUUCAUUAGCCUGAGGAUGCCCACACAGAUGGAUGAAGAACACUAGUCUCCAUGGGAACCAUUGGGGGAAAUUGUCCUGUAGUAAGGUUCAUCGUCUAUACAGAUCUUCUUUCAGAGUAGCAGCC